GAAUCCGAAUACGAAUUUGAGUUACAUUGAUUGACAGUUUUUGAAAGACUUAAAACCUGAGCUUAAAACAAACAUGAUCAUAGGCAAAACAUAGGACAGUAUCUACAAAUAAAAAUACUGUAAAUAUAAACAUUCCGCAAAAUGUAACAAGAAGUAAUUAUACAUCUAGUCAUAAUGGACACCGGUUGCAUAAUACUAUCCUGCCUUCUCUUUUUUACAAAUGAUUAUGAUCUUGGCCAUGUUGAACCCAAUUUAUGACGUCCGGAGAGUUACCGACAGCAUCAACAACUUGAUGAAAAACCACAAGCGUUUGUAUUAUAUGGUUGUUAUCUCCUACUUCGUGUGUGUUGUCCACUUCGGUAUGUAUGUACCUCUCCAAAACAUUCACAAUUUGGUGUUCUCCACUGAACUAAACGAUUACAACAAGCUGGUAUUAUUCAGUCGUGUCGAAAAGAAUUAUGUGAUUGCUGGAUUCUCGCUGUUUUUAGUAGUCGUUCAAUACGCAGUAAGGGCUCUAAUUGCGUACACAGCAAGUCUAAUGGAUUUCUUUAAGAGAAGCGAACCUUUAGUAUUACGCUCGGAGUCCAAAGAAAACAAGUCACAUCUGACACACAAUGAGUACAUAAUGGCGAACUUGCUGCGAGUGAAGAGGUCGAUAUCCUACGAAACAAUACUAUUCGACAACGAACUGAAGGAGCAGCUAAAACUCAUGAUCAGAAACAUCGACUUCCCUCAAACGCGGUGCACAAUUUCUAAAAUUUCUGAGACGAACAUCGAAUAAACGUCGCGUGAUUGGCGGCAAAACUUUCACCAAUAAAACUUAUUGUUUUCCAUUUUCUCUUUAGUUACGAGUGUUCCUGCGUAACUAUUGGAUGUUGAAGUAGAAAAUAGUGGCAAGUAUUUGGAAAUUUUCCCGACAUUACGACGGAGGCGAGGCAUCGGAAAAUAUUCGGAAAGAUAAAAUAAAAUGCCGGUACAAGAAGUAAAGGGAAAGAAAAAUGGCAAAUAGGAAUGUCGAAUGGGAAUGUUUGGAGCGUGGAAAAGGGUGUCUGUAUACAUUAGAGGUCUGAAAUGCUUUCGGUAGAAUUGAGUAUAACAUUUGCAGGGUACCCACACAGUCAUCAAACGGAAUGCUAGAUGAUUUCACUUUACGAUAUAUUAAAUAAUCUCAGCUUACAGCUUCGCGGAAUGGUUACAAACAGUGAAUGCUUCCUUAAGGUAAUGUUUGGAAUGACUUUUGUCAGCUAUGUUUACCUAAGUUAUAUUCAUUUGGUGGACAUUUUAACACCUUUUUUUUAAUGUGCUCAUAUCGUUAAACCCUGUUUCCAAGAAAACUAUUACGAUUUUUCUAAUUUUUUACAGUAAUAUAAAAUUGCUCAUA